AUUGAACGCUGGCGGAAUGCUUUACACAUGCAAGUCGAGCGGUAGAGAGGUGCUUGCAUCUCUUGAGAGCGGCGGACGGGUGAGUAAUGCCUAGGAAUCUGCCUAGUGGUGGGGGAUAACGUUCGGAAACGGACGCUAAUACCGCAUACGUCCUACGGGAGAAAGCGGGGGGAUCUUCGGACCUCGCGCCAUUAGAUGAGCCUAGGCCGGAUUAGCUAGUUGGUGAGGUAAUGGCUCACCAAGGCGACGAUCCGUAACUGGUCUGAGAGGAUGAUCAGUCACACUGGAACUGAGACACGGUCCAGACUCCUACGGGAGGCAGCAGUGGGGAAUAUUGGACAAUGGGCGAAAGCCUGAUCCAGCCAUGCCGCGUGUGUGAAGAAGGUCUUCGGAUUGUAAAGCACUUUAAGUUGGGAGGAAGGGUAGUAACCUAAUACGUUGCUACUUUGACGUUACCGACAGAAUAAGCACCGGCUAACUUCGUGCCAGCA
rnacentral:rRNA from 1 species